rnacentral:rRNA from 1 species
UACGUAGGGUGCGAGCGUUGUCCGGAAUUACUGGGCGUAAAGAGCUCGUAGGUGGUUUGUCGCGUUGUUCGUGAAAACUCACAACUCAAUUGUGGGCGUGCGGGCGAUACGGGCAGACUGGAGUACUGCAGGGGAGAGUGGAAUUCCUGGUGUAGCGGUGAAAUGCGCAGAUAUCAGGAAGAACACCCGUGGCUAAGGCGGCUCUCUAGUACGGUACUGACGCUGAGACGCGAAAGCGUGGGGAGCGAACAGG